ensembl:lncRNA
UCUUGUCCCUUAUCAGUUCCUUUAUGCAGUAAGAGAACAGUACACGGAUGAACAAAUUGUUCUGUUAGCCAACAGGAUUAUCAGGAUGAUUAGUAAAACAAUUUUUUUUUUUUUUUUUUUUUGAGGAAGAUUAGCCCUGAGCUAACUACUGCCAAUCCGCCUAUUUUUGCUGAGGAAGUCUGGCCCUGAGCUAACAUCCAUGCCUAUCUGCCUCUACUUUAUGUGUGGGACGCCUACCACAGCAUGGCUUUUUGCCAAGCGGUGCCAUGUUCGCACCUGGAAUCUGAACCGGCAAACCCGGCCCACCAAGAAGUGGAACACACGAACUUAACCACUGUGCCACCCGGCCAGCCCCUAGUAAAACAAUUUUUAAAAAGACUAUGUGACUGCCAAACAUCUCUGGACCCAGGAUCAGAAGUCCCGGUUUCUUCUUCUUCCACUUUCUAGUCCUGCACCUCUGGCCAAGUUGCUGUACCCUUCUGAGCUUGAGGUUUUUCCCUGUAAAAAGAGGGAUAAGAGUUGCUCGGUUUUCUUCCAAGCGGCUGAGGGAAUCCAAUGAGAUAGUUAAUGCACGGAACGUGUUUUAGAAACUGAAAAGUGCUGCCCCGAAUGUAAGGAAGCACCAUUUACAACUGACACCUCCAGAAAGUUUAGCCAGGCCCCUACACGUUAUAUCCGUGUAUGCGCCGCGGGCCACAUCAAUCAAAAGCAGGUCAAAGGUGCAGGCAGGACAGAGACCUGACUUACCAGAAAAUACAUGCCUGGUCUGUUCAACUUGCAGUGCCAGUGUAUGCUUGUCGUCUGGCAAAGGCCAAGCAAGGGCCUUCAGGGUAGAAGAAAGAAAGGGUAGCAGCGGAACCGAGAGGGCACACAGUGGCGCCUGGAAACCCAGUCCGACCUGGCUUCCCUUCUCCUCUCGUGCAGCAUGUCUCCACUGCAUUCCUCUGGAAGGUAAAUACACGGAUUCCAACAGCCCACCUGGGUGUCCCCCAGCCUGCAAGUGCUCCCUGAGGGUAUCAAAGCACACCGACUUCCACUUGAAACAAAGCCACCAAGCGGCAAGUUUCCCUGCUAGUAAUAAGGAAGAAAGACAGGACUUGGCAGCCGUGAUGGAUUUGCAAUAAUCAAGCUCCUGUUUCUCGUUUAGAAGCACGGGGUUUGUCGGUAUCCUCGCUGCUUCACUCCAUCGGAUGCAGCCGCGACGCGAAUGUCUCUAGAUGCAUGUUAAGUAAAAAGUUUCUAAAGAGGAUUGCGUGGAGCCCAGCAAUUGAUUAAGAAACUCAAUGGCCCUAAUCCACGGAGAACUGAGCAACUAGCAAACGCAGCAGUUUAAAUCAGGCUCAGGGAAAUCCAGCAACCCCCCCAGGGUGUUAAUGCGCAUGCGCCUUAAGAUGUGAACGCUGCUUCCGCGUAAGGGCUGCGUGUAGCUGGGAAAUGGGAAGGGACGGUCCAGUGCGACGUCAGCCGAGGGAUUCGGGGACGCUCAGUGGGCCUGUCUUCUCAGGAAUUGUGAAGCUGCAGGACAAGGAGUCGCAGUGGGAAUCAAGUGAAGUAGUACCGUGGGAAAUGAGCAUAGUCCUAAAAUCUCCUUCCUGGGCCCCCUCCCACUGGAGGAACCGGAAAAUGCAGCUAAAUGUGUAUUUGGAAUGACAAGGUAAUGAAUGAGAAAAUCUACGCUAGCUCUCACUGUGGGAACCUGCACUGUGAUCUGAUCACCCACCAAGAUCUCCUCCACCUAUUCGACUGAACCUUGUCUUUCAGAGCUGAUGGAGCUGGCCCAGAAAGGCCCACAGCACCAAUGAAGGCCGUAAAUGCUGGAGCUUGCUAGAAGUAAUCAAAGAGAGGCACUAGGUGGAUGUUGCCGCGUGAGGACAUGUAAGCCAGCCAGCAAAGACCAGGACUGACUCCCUGGGCACAGGGAACAAUAAAAAGAAAUCUGAUCCCCACACCCUCCUCCCCCUUUGCAGCAAGAAAUGCCCAUAGGUGACUAAAAAGAAGGUGUCCUCCUCCUCCAGGACCAAGGUUUAUCCCCGUAGGCCCAGACGUGGUCUUGUAUGAUUAUUGGGACUUCAUAAAUAUUGAUAAAGACAAGCAUUUCCAUCAAGUUAUAUGGCCCACCUUAUCCACAGCCCCUUGUUGAGAGCCUGCUCUGCCCACAGUCUCUGGAAGGGGCAGUUGUCUCUUCUGAGUGGCCGGGUUCCUGCUCCUCCCCCUAGGCCAUGGCUGACUGAGCAAGGAAACAGUGUGAUCCCUGAGUGGUGAGGCACAGCCUCAGGCCCUGAGUUUCUAACUCUCAUUUCCACUUUCUUGAGCUGUGGUUACCCUCAUUUCUGUGGGACUUCUGACUCUACCAUAGAUCUCUCUUUCUUAUGAGGUAGCUUGGGUGGGUUUCUGCCUCUUAGCACCACGGGAUCUCUGCCAGGACCUGACUGCUCAUGGGAAUGCUGAAAGGAGGAGAUGGAGGUGAAAUGGAUAGCCACAAGACUGUCCUGCUCCUCCCCUUGAACCAAGAUGGCCUUGUGAAUUGCUUUGGCUCACAAAAUGCAGCCAAGUGAUACUGUCUGAGUUCUGGUCUAGAUCUGAAAAAACUUACCAGAUUCUUCUUUCACUCUUGGAGCUCUGAGCCAUGGUGGACAGAGAUCUGGCUACAUGGACUGGCUACAUAAUUUGCAGGGCACAGUGUAAAAUGAAAAUGCAGGAUCCCUUGUUUAAAAAUUAUAAGAAUUUCAAGGGGGCUGGCCCGCAGUGGUGCAACGGUUAAGUUCACACAUUCCACUUCGGUGGCCCGGGGUUCGCCGAUUUAGAUCCCAGGUGCAGACAUACGCACUGCUUGGCAAGCCAUGCUGUGGUAGGCGUCCCACACAUAAAGUAGAGGAAGAUGGGCACAGACGUUAGCUCAGGGCCAGUCUUCCUCAGCAAAAAGAGGAGGAUUGGCAGCAGAUGUUAGCUCAGAGCUAAUCUUCCUAAAAAAAAAAAAAUUUCACGGCAGUGGUAACAGAGCAUUAAACCAAGCAGGGGCCCUUCUGCGUGUGGGGCCCUGUAUGACUGCGCAUGCUACAUACCUAUGAAGCUGGCCCUGCUGGCCACCCUGACGGAGUGACCUCAUGGAAAGAGAGAGAUCGCUGGCCAGGUGGUAGCUGUUUCAGACAUCCCAGCCGAGGUGCCUGACACGGGAGUGAAGCCGUCUUGGAUUUCCAGCCCCAGCUGAGCCUCCUGUGGGGAGGUGUGAGUGCAUGAGUGACCACAGGUGAGACCAGCAAAGAACCACUCACCUGAGCCCAGCCCAGAUUGCAGAACUGUGAGCAAAUACAUGGUUGUUAUUCAAGUAAAGCUCACUAAAGCUUUCAAUGACAAGUGGGCAUAGUCCUUAUGGCCACUUCUUGGGAUGGUUUGUUAUCCUGCAGUAGAGAACUGAGACAGAGGAAAGAGAAUUCACAGUGACUGACCCCCGCUGUGCUCCGGACCCUAUCGGGGUGCUGUGCGUGUGCUGGCUCAUCUGCUCCUCACAACCACCUGGCUGUGGUCCCUCCUUACGGGAGAGGCUACUACAGUUCUGUGGUGAGGGAUUGGCCCCACUGCUCCACAGUCACUAAGUGGCAGAGGCAGGAUUUGAACCUGAGUCCGACUGAUUCCACGACCCACAUAAUAUCCCUACAAUGAAACAAGGAAGGAUCCCCAGAAGGUGCAGGGACCUCAGAGACUACUAAGUAGGGAUCUGAUGCAGUCUUUCCCAAGUGUCCUCACAAAUCCCACAGAGGAACUGUCAGACAGGGAAAUGAGCCUGGUGAGAAAGAUCCCUAAUGGGCACCGUCACGUCACAGCUCAAUCAUCUUCUCCCAUAAUUCCUAUGAUCCUGGGUGACCUAGAGGUAUCCUACAAGGAGGCUUACUCUGGUUUUCUGAUAGGCAUGACACUAAGAAAAUCUGAUGUGGUUAGCUCCGGGUAGUCACCACUUCUUUAUAUGUGGAUUAUCCCCCAACGAACGUCCGGCAUCUGCGGUCAUCCGGGAAUGCGUCCAGGCAAUGAUCUAGCGCUCAGAAGGAACAAGAGCUAAUUUCAACGACUCUUCCAUGUGCUGGGGGCCAUGCCACCUGAAAAUGGAGGAGUCAGUCAUACAACUCUCCACCAAAAAAGGAAGACAAAAUCUUUUCGACAGGAAAAUCUAAGGGAAGCCCUUUGAGCUGGAUUGAACCGUGUGUCCAUCCUGGACCGAUCACUGUGAUAAAAAAGAAGGGAGACAGUGUCCUUUCUGAGUUGAUUUUCCAGUCCUUUAAUGGGGAGAAGGGGGAGGGUGGCAUCUGUUAAUAGAAGAAUGGUGGUAUCUAGAACACAUAAUUGAUUUAAACAGCCUAUUGUCUAACAUUUAGAUUGUAUCUAUUUGCUAUUGAAAUUAUGCUAUUUAAAGUUAUUUGCAUGUC